rnacentral:misc_RNA from 1 species
GAUGAAGAACGCAGCGAAAUGCGAUAAGUAAUGUGAAUUGCAGAAUUCAGUGAAUCAUCGAAUCUUUGAACGCACAUUGCGCCCGCCAGUAUUCUGGCGGGCAUGCCUGUUCGAGCGUCAUUUCAACCAUCAAGCCCUGCUUGCGUUGGGGUCCUGCGGCUGCCCGCAGGCCCUGAAAACCAGUGGCGGGCUCGUUGUCACACCGAGUGCAGUAAUCAUUCUUCUCUCCGGGCGUGGCGGCGGGUUCCGGCCGUAAAACCACCAAUCUAUCAAGGUUGACCUCGGAUCAGGUAGGAAUACCCGCUGAACUUAAGCAUAUCAAUAAGCGGAGGA